GUGAGGAAUAUUGGUCAAUGGACGGAAGUCUGAACCAGCCAUGCCGCGUGAAGGAUGAAGGCGUUCUGCGUUGUAAACUUCUUUUAUCAGAGAAGAAACCACUGAUUUCUAUUAGUGUUGACGGUAUCUGAUGAAUAAGCACCGGCUAACUCCGUGCCAGCAGCCGCGGUAAUACGGAGGGUGCAAGCGUUAUCCGGAUUUACUGGGUUUAAAGGGUGUGUAGGCGGGCUAUUAAGUCAGGGGUGAAAUCCCGGGGCUCAACCUCGGAACUGCCUUUGAUACUAUUAGUCUUGAAUUAUGUUGAGGUUGGCGGAAUAUAACAUGUAGCGGUGAAAUGCAUAGAUAUGUUAUAGAACACCGAUUGCGAAGGCAGCUGGCUAAACAUAUAUUGACGCUGAGGCACGAAAGCGUGGGUAGCGAACAGGAUUAGAUACCCUUGUAGUCC
rnacentral:rRNA from 1 species